rnacentral:rRNA from 1 species
GGCGUAGACGGUUUCUUAAGUCGGAUGUGAAAUCUCCUGACUCAAUUAGGAGAGGUCAUUCGAUACUAGGAGACUUGAGGGUAGCAGAAGAAAGCGGAACUCCAGGUGUAGCGGUGAUAUGCGUAGAUAUCUGGAGGAACACCAGUGGCGAAGGCGGCUUUCUAGGCUAUUCCUGACGUUGAGGCCCAAAAGCGUGGGAGCGAAAC